rnacentral:rRNA from 1 species
AUUGGACAAUGGGCGAAGGCCGGAUCCAGCCAUGCCGCGUGGGUGAAGAAGGUCUUCGGAUUGUAAAGCACUGUAAGUUGGGAGGAAGGGCAGUAAGUUAAUACCUGACUGUUUGGACGUUACCGACAGAAUAAGCACCGGCUAACUUAGUUCCAGCAGCCGCGGUAAUACGAAGGGUGCAAGCGUUACUCGGAAUUACUGGGGGUAAAGCGCGCGUAGGUGGUUUGUUAAGUUGGAAGUGAAAGCCCCGGGCUCAACCUGGGAACUGCUUUCAAAACUGACGAGCUAGAGUACGGUAGAGGGUAGUGGAAUUUCCUGUGUAGCGGUGAAAUGCGUAGAUAUAGGAAGGAACAUCAGUGGCGAAGGCGACUACCUGGACUGAUACUGACACUGAGGUGCGAAAGCGUGGGGAGCAAACAGG